rnacentral:rRNA from 1 species
GGUUAAGCGACUAAGCGUACACGGUGGAUGCCCUGGCAGUCAGAGGCGAUGAAGGACGUGCUAAUCUGCGAUAAGCGCCGGUAAGGUGAUAUGAACCGUUAUAACCGGCGAUUUCCGAAUGGGGAAACCCAGUGUGACUCGUCACACUAUCAUUAACUGAAUCCAUAGGUUAAUGAGGCGAACCGGGGGAACUGAAACAUCUAAGUACCCCGAGGAAAAGAAAUCAACCGAGAUUCCCCCAGUAGCGGCGAGCGAACGGGGAGGAGCCCAGAGCCUGAAUCAGCAUGUGUGUUAGUGGAAGCGUCUGGAAAGGCGCGCGAUACAGGGUGACAGCCCCGUACACAAAAGCGCAUGUGCUGUGAGCUCGAUGAGUAGGGCGGGACACGUGGUAUCCUGUCUGAAUAUGGGGGGACCAUCCUCCAAGGCUAAAUACUCCUGACUGACCGAUAGUGAACCAGUACCGUGAGGGAAAGGCGAAAAGAA